GUAAAUAUAGUUUAAUAAAAACAUCAGAAUGUGAACCUGACAAUGGGAAAUUCUAACCCCCUAUUUACC
rnacentral:tRNA from 1 species